rnacentral:SRP_RNA from 1 species
UGUUGGUUCUCCCGCAACGCUAACUUGUUAACUCGGUCAGGUCCGGAAGGAAGCAGCCAUGGCAGGUGUCGCGUGUGCUGGGAUGUCGCUGGCAAGG